rnacentral:rRNA from 1 species
CCCUUAGAUGAUUUGGGCCGCACGCGCGCUACACUGAUGCAUUCAACGAGUUUUACCUUGGCCGAGAGGCCUGGGCAAUCUUUUAAACCUGCAUCGUGAUAGGGAUAGAUUAUUGCAAUUAUUAAUCUUGAACGAGGAAUUCCUAGUAAACGCAAAUCAUCAAUUUGCAUUGAUUACGUCCCUGCCCUUUGUACACACCGCCCGUCGCACCUACCGAUUGAAUGGUCCGGUGAAGCCUCGGGAUUGUGGCCAGUUCACUUUAUUGGGAGUUGGCUGCGAGAACUUGUCUAAACCUUAUCAUUUAGAGGAAGGUGAAGUCGUAACA